rnacentral:rRNA from 1 species
UACGGAGGGAGCUAGCGUUGUUCGGAAAUACUGGGCGUAAAGCGCACGUAGGCGGCGCAGCAAGUCAGGGGUGAAAUCCCGGGGCUCAACCCCGGAACUGCCCGUGAAACUGCAGUGCUAGAAUUCUGGAGAGGCGAGUGGAAUUCCGAGUGUAGAGGUGAAAUUCGUAGAUAUUCGGAAGAACACCAGUGGCGAAGGCGACUCGCUGGACAGACAUUGACGCUGAGGUGCGAAAGCGUGGGGAGCAAACAGG